GAUCCUGGCUCAGAUUGAACGCUGGUGGCAGGCCUAACACAUGCAAGUCGAGCGGCAUCGAGUGAGCACAGUUUACUGAGUUCAUGUCGGCGAGCGGCGGACGGGUGAGUAAAGUCUGGGAAUCUGGCCGACGGAGGGGGAUAACUGCUGGAAACGGCAGCUAAUACCGCAUGAAGUCGUGAGACCAAAGUGGGGGACCUUCGGGCCUCACGCCGUCGGAUGAGCCCAG
rnacentral:rRNA from 1 species